ACGGCUCAGUAACACGUGGAUAACCUGCCCUUGGGUCCGGCAUAACCCCGGGAAACUGGGGAUAAUUCCGGAUAACGCACAUAUGCUGGAAUGCUCUAUGCGUAAAAUGGAUUCGUCUGCCCAAGGAUGGGUCUGCGGCCUAUCAGGUAGUAGUGGGUGUAAUGUACCUACUAGCCUACAACGGGUACGGGUUGUGAGAGCAAGAGCCCGGAGAUGGAUUCUGAGACAUGAAUCCAGGCCCUACGGGGCGCAGCAGGCGCGAAAACUUUACAAUGCGGGAAACCGUGAUAAGGGGACACCGAGUGCCAGCAUCAUAUGCUGGCUGUCCAGGUGUGUAAAAUACACCUGUUAGCAAGGGCCGGGCAAGACCGGUGCCAGCCGCCGCGGUAACACCGGCGGCCCGAGUGGUGAUCGUGAUUAUUGGGUCUAAAGGGUCCGUAGCCGGUUUGGUCAGUCCUCCGGGAAAUCUGACGGCUCAACCGUUAGGCUUUCGGGGGAUACUGCCAGGCUUGGAACCGGGAGAGGUAAGAGGUACUACAGGGGUAGGAGUGAAAUCUUGUAAUCCCUGUGGGACCACCUGUGGCGAAGGCGUCUUACCAGAACGGGUUCGACGGUGAGGGACGAAAGCUGGGGGCACGAACCGGAUUAGAUACCCGGGUAGUCCCAGCCGUAAACGAUGCUCGCUAGGUGUCAGGCAUGGCGCGACCGUGUCUGGUGCCGCANGGAAGCCGUGAAGCGAGCCACCUGGGAAGUACGGCCGCAAGGCUGAAACUUAAAGGAAUUGGCGGGGGAGCAC
rnacentral:rRNA from 1 species